rnacentral:rRNA from 1 species
UCAGAGGUCUCGAGCGUUGUUCGGAUUCAUUGGGCGUAAAGGGUGCGUAGGCGGCGGGGUAAGUCUGAUGUGAAAUCCCGGGGCUCAACCCCGGACUGCAUUGGAUACUGCUCUGCUUGAGUACUGGAGAGGAGACUGGAAUUUACGGUGUAGCAGUGAAAUGCGUAGAUAUCGUAAGGAAGACCAGUGGCGAAGGCGAGUCUCUGGACAGUUACUGACGCUGAGGCACGAAGGCUAGGGGAGCAAACGGG